GCGGGUAUCAUAUAACGGUUAUUAUAUCAGUUUUCCAAACUGAAUAAGCGGGUUCAACUCCCGCUACCCGCU
rnacentral:tRNA from 1 species